rnacentral:rRNA from 1 species
ACACUCCUACGGGAGGCAGCAGUGGGGAAUCUUGCGCAAUGGGCGAAAGCCUGACGCAGCCAUGCCGCGUGAAUGAUGAAGGUCUUAGGAUUGUAAAAUUCUUUCACCGGGGACGAUAAUGACGGUACCCGGAGAAGAAGCCCCGGCUAACUUCGUGCCAGCAGCCGCGGUAAUACGAAGGGGGCUAGCGUUGCUCGGAAUUACUGGGCGUAAAGGGAGCGUAGGCGGACAUUUAAGUCAGGGGUGAAAUCCCGGGGCUCAACCUCGGAAUUGCCUUUGAUACUGGGUGUCUUGAGUAUGAGAGAGGUGUGUGGAACUCCGAGUGUAGAGGUGAAAUUCGUAGAUAUUCGGAAGAACACCAGUGGCGAAGGCGACACACUGGCUCAUUACUGACGCUGAGGCUCGAAAGCGUGGGGAGCAAACAGGAUUAGAUACCCCUGUAGUCCCA